GUCAAAUGACAAGAAUAGUUUCAGUACAAAAAAGUGAAAAACUGUGAACCUUAAACACAGUGGUUUCCUAAUUAAAACCAGAGCUAUAUGGCAUAUCCAGAACAGACAUGUGAAGUGGGCUAAUCCCACAACCCCUAAAUGAUUUAGUAGUUUAGGGUGAUUUCACACCUACUUUUUUUAUUUGUCAAAAUAAACUGUUCAUAUUUACGUGUAGUGCUGUUUGUUUGGACAUGGAUGAGCACAGUAAUCACAACUGCAAUGAGACUGCUGAGAACUGUUGGUCUGAACUCUGAAUUGGUUGGUUUGUGAUGUGAACAUGAUCUGAACUUGAUCCAACCCAUCUGUCAAGCAUACUCUGUCAGUUUUAAGAUGUGGAGUCAGUCAAAUGAACACAUGCCACCUCUGCUGUUGUUCCAUGUUAAACUGCACAGAAAUCUGUUUACUUUCUUGCUCCCAGCCAAGACAGCUCUGACCAACAACCAAAGAGAUUACAAAGAUUGUUGUGACUCAUUUUGGUGAGCUUGAAUUUUAUCCUCUGUUAAAACAACAAACCAUGAGGGAAAUGCUCCAAGAGAAUCAAUUAAUUACCUGACUUGGACCAGAGCAAACAAACUAUAGUGUGAAAAAACAGCCUUACAUACACUAUUAAAAGAUUUUGUACAUACAUACACUAGUGAAAGUGUUUGUGAAUCGGUAUCAUCUUAACCCCAAAUCAUAUUUUAAAUAUGUACUAAAGAACAACUUUUAAAUAUUCAAUAAGCUCAUAAUAUUGAACCUUUAAAGACAGUAGCAGCCCACUAAAAACAUAAAUCACAUUGUAAUUGUUGGGAAAGGUCUUUCAGAUGUUUGUCUUAUGUUCCUUUGUGUUUAUUUUACUGUUCGCUCAUAUACUGUGUUCUCAUAUUUUACCAGCUGUUCCCAGAUACUGAAAACAAUGCCGUGGUGAUCAGCUUUCAGGAAGGGCCAGUGGUUUGUGGUGAUGUUAAGGUCAUGUUUGAAUCCAGGGCUGGUCUUCCAAAGGGGUAUGAGGACUAUCCUUUCUAUUUCUGGUUCAACACUUCAUUUGUAGAGAACAACAGGCUCUAUCUGUCAAGGGAGGAACUGGACAACCCACGUAAGUCCAAAACCUGGGACAUCUACAAGGAGGACUUUGCUGUGACCGUGUCUUUCAGUGACCCUGCAUUUAUGUAGCAGACGACACUUGCUUGUGUAUCUCAACUAAAACCCUUAAGCCCUGCACAAGGUCUAAAUCUUUGCUCUAAUGUAGGUUUUCACACACUUAUAAAAGGCGAGUGAUGUUUAGGGAUUGGAUUCGGGCAUAUUGUGCCCCUAAAGCUAUAGCUAUAGCUAUAUAACCUCAACUUUAUGUCCAUCCCCCAUCUUCACUGUAAGAGCUUUUUACUGAGCCGUGCAUACACCACAAUAUUAUGCAUUUGUUUGUCAAAUGUUUUUUUGUCUUUAAAUGAAGACAAAUGUUUGUGUCAGUUUAGCAUAUUAAGCCUCCAAAAUGUAAAUCUUACUCUUUAAGCUUGAGUGUACAUCAAAUAAAGCAAUCGAGGCUGCCACUGUGAAAUGGUCAAUGGUUAUGUGUGCAGAAACAUGUUUUUGUAGUACACAUGUAUUGAAAUAAAUACUAAUGUCUCUGUAA